UCCUCUUCGCCGUCUUCAUCUGAGUGUGACUGUUCUUCUGCACCAUACCAGCUAGGGAAUGAAUAGUUCCGGUUCUAGUUCAUCUUCCUGGAGACGGAGAGGAUCAAGUUUGCUCAACCUCUGCACGGCGGUGUUCACGCCAUUCAUCGCUCUGGUUAGGGCUUUCUUCUUGUUCGCCUCUCUCGUAACUCCCCUUUUUCGGUUAAUGAAAUCGAGGCACUGUAUGAGCUUUACAAGAAGCUGAGCAGUUCAGUGUUUGAUGAUGGCCGCAUACAUAAGGUAUUCCUGGAACAUUUGCUUAAGAACAACUGCAAUGUAUGAUAUAGUGAUGCUUUGGGCAUUUUGGAGAGAUUUGAAUGAAAUGCUUAUGACUGGCUUCAAUGCUGAAGUUUAUAGUUUGCUG